AAAUUCUCUUCUGAGGACACUCCUCGUUCCAUGAGACAUGUCAUAUUGGAACAUCUUGGAAGAUUUUUUUUAAUCUAUUAUACCAUUGCAAUGAUCAGUAGCGUAUCAUCGGAAAGUUUCCCCACCAUCCACAGUCAAACACACUGGUACACGGUCUGUGGUCGACACUGUUGCAUCCUGAAUCAUCAAUUCACUGAUUAGAUAGUCUCUGUAAUACUAUAGGGGAAGCAGGGUAUAUUUAAGAUUGUAGAUCCCUCUUGGGACUGGAAGAGCAAGGAUGAAAGAGUUUAAUAGUAUGCUCUUGAGGCUGAUGAUUGUACUUAUAAAGAACGGAGAGUACGUGGUGAAUGCUAUACAACAAUCUUAUUUGUUUUCUUUAAAUUAAAACUGGUUCUGAGGCUUAGGAAAUGCGAGACCUUAAACCUGUUGUCGAUCGAAAGUCAACAUAACAUAGUGUCGCAACUGUCACGACAUACAAUGUACAACCCGAUUCGGUAGCCAACGAUAUUUUUACGACUAUAGAUGCAUAGGAUCCGAGUGCCAAAUAUAUCUGGAUCUUCAAGAUUUUCGGCAUAAUUCAUUACAGAAUGAUAAAAUCGCGUAUCGUUAUCUAGAACCAUAAUUUAAGUAGGAGCUCUUCCAACACUUACUAUAAUGUAAACAAAAUUUAUUUAGCAUGUCAAAUCGUGGUGUCAUUUUCGUAUGGUUUGAUUACGUCUCGCAGACGUCGCAUUUGCAUCGCAAUUGCAGCAGAGCCAAUUCUAAAAUUGUCCCUACGAACUACGAAUAGUUAAAAUGCGCCGAAAAUAUCUUUUAGAUGAGAAAACAACGUUUUUCUUUAUGGCAAGUAAUCUAUUAGUUCAUACUGCGUCAUGCUGUCGGGCUUUUUGUAGCCGGCGUCUAAGUUAUGUUAGUAUUGUUUUUUUCGUUCAAUAAAAAGAAACUGGAUCUGUUGUUACGUAAAAAGGAACUAAUAAUAUUAUGUAUGAAGCAUACACCAAAGCGUAAAAAAACUAUAAGUUUUAAUAGAAUUCAGCACUUUGGCUACUUAUCAUUAAAAGACUGGACGAAACAAGAAAAUUCUCAUAAAUAAUAAUCGCGAGAAGAAAUGAACAGUUUGUUAGAAAUUAUAGGGGGGGGGGGAGAUUCUAGCAAUUUCUAUGGUGCAAUAUUACGUCGCCAUUUAUAUACUUUCGCUUUUCUCUCGCUGUGAUCGCACAACACGCGUAUACAUGCAGCGAUAAGGUUGAUUAGGUAGACAGUUUUCUACGAUAGAAUCCUCCGUUCAUAACCCACGUCUUUCCAUUCUAGCUUCUCUACGUCUAUUUGUAUUAUCAUAUCUGUUAGCGAGUUCCAUUUUCGCCUAUACUAUAUUGUUCCUGAAAAUCAGAGAAUUUCAUAUUCAAACAAAAAGGUCAACAUUUUCUGAAGCACUUACGAUGUAGAUAUUAAUUAAAUUAUUGGAAUAUUAUACUUUUACGAUUUCUUUUCUAAUAUAAAUCCAGUCAAUAAUUUUAAUUCACGGAAAAUUCCACUAUCGCGUGCUUGCGAAUCAGAGACAGAAAA